rnacentral:lncRNA from 1 species
AGGCGGAUAUGUUUGGGGUUGGCUAUCAGGAAGGCCAAGACUCGUCUGAGCAGAACAGAGGACGUCGUCCACCGUUCGCAUUUGUCAGUGCUGGAUCCAGAUCACGCCUAUACAGUGGGUGAAGAGAUUGACAGUGACCGCGAGCUGGAGUCGUGGAUAAAAUCGUGCGUACCAGGAAGCUGGAAGGCCUAAAAAAAAUCAGCACUGUCACUUAUCUGGAAGAGUAAUAUUUCUUGUUUUUCAGUUUUUAUUUGCAUGAAAGCGAUGCGUGUUGCCCGACACGUAAUGGUUCAUUG